rnacentral:rRNA from 1 species
AGGGUUACUGAAUCCAGAUAAACUACGAAUUCCAGAUAUCCAUACACGGGAGUCAGACUGCGAGUGAUAAGAUCCGUAGUCGAAAGGGAAACAGCCCAGAUCACCAGUUAAGGUCCCCAAAUCUAUGCUAAGUGGAAAAGGAUGUGGAGUUGCGUAGACAACUAGGACGUUGGCUCAGAAGCAGCCAUCAUUCAAAGAGUGCGUAAUAGCUCACUAGUCGAGUGGCGCUGCGCCGAAAAUUUACCGGGGCUAAGCAUAGUACCGAAACUGUGGAUGUGUUUUAAAGAGCACGUGGUAGGAGAGCGUUCUAAGAGCGGAGAAGUUGAAUCGAGAGGAUCAAUGGAGCGCUUAGAAGUGAGAAUGCCGGUAUGAGUAGCGAAAGAUAGGUGAGAAUCCUAUCCGCCGAAAGACUAAGGUUUCCUGGGGCAGGCUCGUCCGCCCAGGGUAAGUCGGGACCUAAGGCAAGGCCGAGAGGCGUAGUCGAUGGAUAACAGGUAGAGAUUCCUGUACUGUGUCAAAUCGUUAAGAGCGAAGGAGGGACGCAGGAGGUGAAGCACGCAUCGCGAUGGAACGAUGUUCAAGCAACAAGUGCGGUUAAGAGUCAAAUGCUUCUAACCAGCAACACGAGUUGUGAAGAGGAGUGAAUUAAAAGUAGCGAAGGUGUGGUAAUCACACUGCCAAGAAAAGCUUCUAGCCAGAGAUGACAUACCCGUACCGCAAACCGACACAGGUAGUCGAGUGGAGAACACUAAGGUGAGCGAGAGAACUCUCGUUAAGGAACUCGGCAAAAUGACCCCGUAACUUCGGAAGAAGGGGUGCUAGCCAAGAGAUUGGUUAGCCGCAGUGAAUAGGCCCAAACAACUGUUUAUCAAAAACACAGGUCUCUGCAAAAUCGUAAGAUGACGUAUAGAGGCUGACACCUGCCCGGUGCUGGAAGGUUAAGAGGAGAGCUUAGCGUAAGCGAAGGUUUGAAUUGAAGCCCCAGUAAACGGCGGCCGUAACUAUAACGGUCCUAAGGUAGCGAAAUUCCUUGUCGGGUAAGUUCCGACCUGCACGAAAGGUGUAAUGAUUUGGGCACUGUCUCAACGAGAGACUCGGUGAAAUUAUAAUACCCGUGAAGAUGCGGGUUACCCGCGACAGGACGGAAAGACCCCAUGGAGCUUCACUGUAGGCUUGAUAUUGAGUAUCUUUUAAACAUGUACAGGAUAGGUAGGAGCCAGAGAAGAUAGGACGCUAGUCUUAUUGGAGGCAAUGUUGGGAUACUACCCUUGUUUGAAGGAUGCUCUAACCUCGACCUGUAAGCCAGGCCAGGGACAGUGUCAGGUGGGCAGUUUGACUGGGGCGGUCGCCUCCUAAAGUGUAACGGAGGCGCUCAAAGGUUCCCUCAGAAUGGUUGGAAAUCAUUCGCAGAGUGUAAAGGUAUAAGGGAGCUUGACUGCGAGAGAGACAACUCGAGCAGGUAGGAAACUAGGACUUAGUGAUCUGGUGGUACCGUAUGGAAGGGCCAUCACUCAACGGAUAAAAGCUACCCUGGGGAUAACAGGCUUAUCUCCCCCAAGAGUUCACAUCGACGGGGAGGUUUGGCACCUCGAUGUCGGCUCGUCGCAUCCUGGGGCUGAAGUCGGUCCCAAGGGUUGGGCUGUUCGCCCAUUAAAGCGGCACGCGAGCUGGGUUCAGAACGUCGUGAGACAGUUCGGUCCCUAUCCGUCGUGGGCGUAGGAAAUUUGAGAGGAGCUGUCCUUAGUACGAGAGGACCGGGAUGGACGCACCGCUGGUGUACCAGUUGUUCCGCCAGGAGCAUCGCUGGGUAGCUAUGUGCGGAAGGGAUAAGCGCUGAAAGCAUCUAAGUGCGAAGCCCCCCUCAAGAUGAGAUUUCCUUUGCGUAAGCAGUAAGACACCUCAGAGACGAUGAGGUAGAUAGGCUGGGAGUGGAAGUCCUGUGAAGGAUGGAGCGGACCAGUACUAAUCAGUCGAGGACUUGACCAAA